rnacentral:rRNA from 1 species
AAGGGGGCCACGGGCAAUGCUUCAGUACGGCGAGUGAGCGGCAAAAGCUCAAAUUUGAAAUCUAGCACUUUCAGUGUUCGAGUUGUAAUUUGAAGAAGGUAACUUUGGUUUUGGCUCUUGUCUAUGUUCCUUGGAACAGGACGUCACAGAGGGUGAGAAUCCCGUGCGAUGAGAUGCCCAAUUCCAUGUAAAGUGCUUUCGAAGAGUCGAGUUGUUUGGGAAUGCAGCUCUAAGUGGGUGGUAAAUUCCAUCUAAAGCUAAAUAUUGGCGAGAGACCGAUAGCGAACAAGUACAGUGAUGGAAAGAUGAAAAGAACUUUGAAAAGAGAGUGAAAAAGUACGUGAAAUUGUUGAAAGGGAAGGGCUUGAGAUCAGACUUGGUAUUUUGCGUUCCCUUCCUUUUUGGUUGGGUUCCUCGCAGUUUACUGGGCCAGCAUCGGUUUGGAUGGUAGGAUAAUGACAUUGGAAUGUAGCUUUACUUCGGUGAAGUGUUAUAGACUUUGUUGAUACUGCCUAUCUAGACCGAGGACUGCGUCUUUGACUAGGAUGCUGGCGUAAUGAUCUUAAGCCGCCCGUCUUGAACCACGGGACCAAAAAUAAAAGAUUUAAUUGGGGGUUUUAAAUAGUCCGAAGCUGUUCUGGCUAUUACGGUAUAGAGUAAGGCG